AUUAGCGGCGGACGGGUGAGUAACACGUGAGUAACCUGCCUUAGACAUUGGGAUAGCCUCGGGAAACCGGGAUUAAUACCAAAUAAAAUCAUAAUGACACAUGUCAUAACGAUCAAAACUCCGGUGGUCUAAGAUGGACUCGCGUCCCAUUAGCUAGUUGGUAGAGUAAAAGCCUACCAAGGCGACGAUGGGUAGCCGGCCUGAGAGGGUGAACGGCCACAUUGGAACUGAGAAACGGUCCAAACUCCUACGGGAGGCAGCAGUGGGGAAUAUUGCACAAUGGAGGGAACUCUGAUGCAGCGACGCCGCGUGAACGAAGAAGGCUUUCGAGUCGUAAAGUUCUUUUAUAUGGGAAGAUAAUGACGGUACCAUAAGAAAAAGCCCCGGCUAACUACGUGCCAGCAGCCGCGGUAAUACGUAGGGGGCUAGCGUUGUCCGGAAUCACUGGGCGUAAAGGGUUCGCAGGCGGAAAUGCAAGUCAGAUGUAAAAGGCAGUAGCUUAACUACUGUAAGCAUUUGAAACUGCAUAUCUUGAGAAGAGUAGAGGUAAGUGGAAUUUUUAGUGUAGCGGUGA
rnacentral:rRNA from 2 species